GAUGAACGCUGGCGGCGUGCCUAACACAUGCAAGUCGAGCGAUUCUCUUCGGAGAAGAGCGGCGGACGGGUGAGUAACGCGUGGGUAACCUGCCCUGUACACACGGAUAACAUACCGAAAGGUAUGCUAAUACGGGAUAACAUAUUUUAGUCGCAUGGCUGAAAUAUCAAAGCUCCGGCGGUACAGGAUGGACCCGCGUCUGAUUAGCUAGUUGGUAAGGUAAUGGCUUACCAAGGCGACGAUCAGUAGCCGACCUGAGAGGGUGAUCGGCCACAUUGGAACUGAGACACGGUCCAAACUCCGACGGGAUGCAGCAGGGGGGAAUAUUGCACAAUGGGCGAAAGCCGGAUGCAGCAACGCCGCGUGAGCGAUGAAGGCCUUCGGGUCGUAAAGCUCUGUCCUCAAGGAAGAUAAUGGCGGUACUUGAGGAGGAAGCCCCUGCUAACUACGUGCCAGCCGCCGCAGUAA
rnacentral:rRNA from 1 species